UGCGCAGAUGGUACUGCGUCAUAGCGUGGGAGAGUAUGUCGCCGCCUUUU
rnacentral:rRNA from 1 species